AUGAACGGAGCAAGGGUGAGUUUGGGGAAGAAGAAAUUGAGAUCUACGAUAGAAGAAGGUGCCACAUUGAAGAACCCACUAACAAGAAGAGGAGAUGUUUAUGGAUUUAUUCAAAUGGAAAUAAAAAAUGGAGCAACAGUUGUUGGAUGCAUCAAGCACUGUAUAUGGCCUGCUAGCAAUGAGGUAUGGAGAACUACAGGGUCUUAA